GUGCCAGCAGCCGCGGUAAUACCGGCAGCCCGAGUGAUGGCCGAUCUUAUUGGGCCUAAAGCGUCCGUAGCUGGCUGCGCAAGUCCGUCGGGAAAUCCACUCGCCCAACGAGUGGGCGUCCGACGGAAACUGCACAGCUUGGGACCGGAAGGCUCGAAGGGUACGUCCGGGGUAGGAGUGAAAUCCCGUAAUCCCGGACGGACUACCGAUGGCGAAAGCACGUCGCGAAGACGGAUCCGACAGUGAGGGACGAAAGCUAGGGUCUCGAACCGGAUUAGAAACCCCGGUCC
rnacentral:rRNA from 1 species